CUGCCCUCCAGCACCAUCAGCAGCAGGAGCAGCAGAAACCAGCAACAUUGUACCCAUCAGGACGAACGAGAAAGCACAUUUUCCACCGAGAGGAGCAGCAUCUGAACCACCAUGCUGAUAAUGAAGACUCCAGCCUGUCCAGAAAUAUCCACGGUUUAAUAUUUAUUCAACUGUAGAAUUUUCUGAGUUUACUAAAAUAAAAUCAGAGUAACAUCU